rnacentral:rRNA from 1 species
UACGAAGGGGGCUAGCGUUGUUCGGAAUUACUGGGCGUAAAGCGUGCGCAGGCGGCUUCUCAAGUCAGGGGUGAAAGCCCAGAGCUCAACUCUGGAAUUGCCUUUGAGACUGAGUGGCUUGAGUACGAGAGAGGUGAGUGGAAUUCCCAGUGUAGAGGUGAAAUUCGUAGAUAUUGGGAAGAACACCGGUGGCGAAGGCGGCCAACUGGACCACAACUGACGCUGAGGCGCGAAAGCUAGGGGAGCAAACAGG